rnacentral:tRNA from 1 species
GGUCUUAUGGUCUAGUGGUAUGAUUCUCGCUUAGGGUCACCUAAGUACAAUUGCGAGAGGCCCCGCGUUCGAAUCGCGGUAAGACCC